CAUGUAGGCGGACUUUUAAGUCUGGUGUGAAAGCCCGGGGCUCAACCCCGGAAGUGCAUCGGAUACUGGCAGUCUUGAGUAUGGGAGAGGAAAGUGGAAUUCCGAGUGUAGGAGUGAAAUCCGUAGAUAUUCGGAGGAACACCAGUGGCGAAGGCGGCUUUCUGGACCAAUACUGACGCUGAGAUGCGAAAGCGUGGGGAGCAAACAGGAUUAGAUACCCUGGUAGUCC
rnacentral:rRNA from 1 species